GACGAACGCUGGCGGCGUGCUUAACACAUGCAAGUCGAACGGAAAGGCCCUGCUUUUGUGGGGUGCUCGAGUGGCGAACGGGUGCGUAACACGUGAGUAACCUGCCCUUGACUUUGGGAUAACUUCAGGAAACUGGGGCUAAUACCGGAUAGGAGCUCCUGCUGCAUGGUGGGGGUUGGAAAGUUUCGGCGGUUGGGGAUGGACUCGCGGCUUAUCAGCUUGUUGGUGGGGUAGUGGUUUACCAAGGCUUUGACGGGUAGCCGGCCUGGGAGGGUGACCGGCGACAUGGGGACUGAGAGACGGCGCAGAGGCGUACGGGAGGCAGCAGUGGGGAAUAUUGCACAAUGGGCGGGAGCGGGAUGCAGAAACGCCGGGGGCGGGAUGACGGCCUUCGGGGUGUAAACCGCUUUCGCCUGUGACGAAGCGGGAGUGACGGUAAUGGGUAAAGAAGCACCGGCUAACUACGUG
rnacentral:rRNA from 1 species